GAUUCUAAAGCUCGCCAGAGCCCUAGAUUCCAUCUAUAAGAAGUCCUUCCCCUCUCUUAGAUCUCUACCUAGGGUUCAUUUAGAAACCACCAUCAAUUAGAGGAUUUUUCUAGGGUUCUUCUGUGAGUUGCUGCCAAGAAAAGCUCGCUGGAAUUGCGACUUGAGGACUCACCGAGCUUAGAUAAGAGCCUCUUAGACUAGAAAUCAAGAGGAAACUUGCACAAAGGUCAAAAAAAGUAAAAUUCUUAGAUCUACAUCCAACAGAGCCACG